rnacentral:miRNA from 1 species
UAGGGUGACCUGCUUGUCCUGGUGUGCCUGGGAGUUUCCUGGUCUCAGCACUGAGCAUCCCAGGACAGUCCUGGGGACACUGGGACAGUGGGUCACCCUGUGGCAAA